rnacentral:rRNA from 1 species
UACGUAGGGGGCAAGCGUUGUCCGGAUUUAUUGGGCGUAAAGCGCUCGCAGGUGGUCCGUCGCGUCGUGCGUGAAAGGCCCCGGCUCAACUGGGGGGUGGCGUGCGAGACGGGCGGACUGGAGGCCAGUAGGGGGAUGCGGAAUUCCGGGUGUAGUGGUGGAAUGCGUAGAGAUCCGGAGGAACACCAGCGGCGAAGGCGGCAUCCUGGACUGGUCCUGACACUCAGGAGCGAAAGCGUGGGGAGCGAUC